UACGUAGGUGGCAAGCGUUGUCCGGAAUUAUUGGGCGUAAAGCGCGCGCAGGCGGUCCUUUAAGUCUGAUGUGAAAGCCCACGGCUCAACCGUGGAGGGUCAUUGGAAACUGGGGGACUUGAGUGCAGAAGAGGAAAGCGGAAUUCCACGUGUAGCGGUGAAAUGCGUAGAUAUUGGGAGGAACACCAGUGGCGAAGGCGACUUUCUGGACGAUAACUGACGCUGAGGCGCGAAAGCGUGGGGAGCAAACAGG
rnacentral:rRNA from 1 species